UACAGAGGUCUCAAGCGUUGUUCGGAUUCAUUGGGCGUAAAGGGUGCGUAGGCGGCCGUGCAAGUCUGGCGUGAAAGCCCCGGCUCAGCCCGGGAAGUGCGCUCGAAACUGCGCGGCUCGAGUGCCGGAGGGGAGAGUGGAAUUCCUGGUGUAGCGGUGAAAUGCGCAGAUAUCAGGAGGAACACCGGUGGCGAAGGCGGUUCUCUGGGCCUUACCUGACGCUGAGGAGCGAAAGCAUGGGGAGCGAACAGG
rnacentral:rRNA from 1 species